GACGAAGGAUGCAAGCGUUAUCCGGAUUCAUUGGGGUUAAAGGGUGCGUAGGCGGACCAGUAAGUCAGUGGUGAAAUCUCUUUGCUUAACAAAGAAACUGCCAUUGAUACUGCUAGUCUAGAGUAUAGAUGACGUUGGCGGAAUAUGACAUGUAGUGGUGAAAUACUUAGAUAUGUCAUAGAACACCGAUUGCGAAGGCAGCUAACGAAACUAUAACUGACGCUGAGGCACGAAAGUGCGGGGAUCAAACAGG
rnacentral:rRNA from 1 species